CUGCAGAUGUAUUUCAGCUAGAAGCUACUGUGAUUUUUCCUAAUAUCUCAAGCACCAUUCUGCCAAUGUAUCUUAUUUCUGAUCUAAAACAUCCCUCAUUUCUUAUUCCCAUUCCCAACCCUUUUUUCUUUCCUUCCCUACUCUCAGAAGGAGCAUUUUCUAGCUGUUAAAGCACAUGACUGAAAAGUCAAUGAUUCCAUAUGUUUUGUUCCUCCAGUGUCUUACUUUGUAAUCUUGGGCAAGUUGUUUAACUUCAGAUUUCCUAUCUGUAAAAUGAUGGUCACUGCCAUGUAUUCCUAAGUAUCCAGAGCACAGUGAACAGAGGCAGUGAACAGAUGCAGCAGUUUGUGCAGAAGGGCGCACGAAGGUACCUUCGUUUCUGUUCCCUGUGGUGUACACUUCCUCAAGUAUGGUUGUGACACGCCGCACAGCGCGUUCCCCAGUGGCUGUUGGAGUUGCUGUGUCAGAGGCUGCGACCCAGACCGACCCUCUGACAGUAGAUGCAGCUCUACAGGUCUCAGGCUGCAGGGAGUGCUUGGGGCCUCUCCGGGAGGCCUGGGCUGGCAGUCAGCUCUCCUGCAGGAGGUGUGCUGCUGUUGACGAGUUGUGUUGUCAGGUAAGGGAGUUACGGGAGGAGGUCAGUAGGCUGCGCAGCAUCCGAGAAGCAGAGCAAGAGAUAGACAGGGUAUUCUCGGAGACUGUGCAGCUUCGGGAGUCCCAACCCCCCACAGCAGUGGAGUUGCCGGAGGGCUCUGUGCCGUGUGAAACGGUACAUCAUGACACCGUAGAAGAAGGCUGGAAACUGGUCACUGCAUGUGGGAGGAGAAAGGCUCCUACUCCUCCCGAAGACUUGCAGCUGAAGAACAGGUUUAGUGCCCUCCAGGAUGAGGAGGAGAUGGGCAUGGCUGCAAGGGAAGUAACUGGGACAACAGACCCUGUGCCCUGCCGGAACGCCUGGGAGAAGCAGCGGGUGACUGUUGUGGGGGACUUCCUGCUGCAGGGGACGGAGGCAUCUAUCUGCCAACCUGACCUCAUGUCUAGAGAGGUUUGUGGCCUGCCAGGGGCUCGCAUGCAAGACGUCAUAGAAAGACUGCCAAGGCUUGUCCAUGCUUCAGACUAUUACCCACUGCUGCUCUUCCAUGUGGGCGCCAAUGACACCAAGGGCAAACUGGAGACCAUCAAGCAGGAUUUCAGAGCUCUGGAGAUGGUGGUCAAGGGUCUGGGAGCCCAGGUCAUCUUCUCCUCAAUCCUGCCAGUGAGGGGGAUGGAUGAGAGGAGGAGGAGAGAGACUUUCCA
rnacentral:lncRNA from 1 species